rnacentral:rRNA from 1 species
GUGGGGAAUAUUGCACAAUGGGCGCAAGCCUGAUNCAGCCAUGCCGCGUGUGUGAAGAAGGUCUUCGGNUUGUAAAGCACUUUCAGUUGGGAGGAAGGGCUGUNUAUUAAUACUUUGCUGUNUUGACGUUACCCACAGAAUAAGCACCGGCUAACUCCGUGCCAGCAGCCGCGGUAAUACGGAGGGUGCAAGCGUUAAUCGGAAUUACUGGGCGUAAAGCGCGCGUAGGCGGUUUNUUAAGUCNGAUGUGAAAUCCCCGGGCUCAACCUGGGAACUGCAUUCGAAACUGCCNAGCUAGAGUNUGGUAGAGGGUGGGUGGAAUUCCNGGUGUAGCGGUGAAAUGCGUAGAGAUCNGGAGGAAACACCAGUGGCGAAGGCGGCCCCCUGG